rnacentral:rRNA from 1 species
CAAUAGCGUAUACUAAAGUUGUUGCAGUUAAAAGCUCGUAGUUGGAUUUCUGUGCACCGGUUGUUGGUCCGCCUCUAUGAGGUGGGUCCUUCACCGUUGUACAUCCUGUUGGCAGACACGUGCUGGCAUUCAUUUGUCGGUGCGGGAGACCACUCGUUUACUUUGAGAAAAUUAAAGUGUUCAAAGCAGGCGCUCGCUUGAAUACAUUAGCAUGGAAUAAUAGUAUAGGACUUUGAUCUUAUUUGUUGGUUUUAAAGAUCAAAGUAAUGAUUGAUAGGGACAGUUGGGGGCAUCGAGUAUUCUGAAGCGAGAGGUGAAAUUGCUUGGAACCUUCGGUGAAGCACUGAAACAACUAGCGAAAGCAUUUGACCAAUGGAUGUUCUCUUUAAUUCAAGAACGAAAGUUAGGGGAUCGAAGACGAUUAGAUACCA